rnacentral:rRNA from 1 species
UCCUACGGGAGGCAGCAGUGAGGAAUAUUGGUCAAUGGGCGCGAGCCUGAACCAGCCAAGUAGCGUGCAGGAUGACGGCCCUACGGGUUGUAAACUGCUUUUAUGCGGGGAUAAAGUGAGGGACGUGUCCCUUUUUGCAGGUACCGCAUGAAUAAGGACCGGCUAAUUCCGUGCCAGCAGCCGCGGUAAUACGGAAGGUCCGGGCGUUAUCCGGAUUUAUUGGGUUUAAAGGGAGCGCAGGCGGAGAGCUAAGCGUGACGUGAAAUGUAGCCGCCCAACGGCUGACGUGCGUCGCGAACUGGUUUUCUUGAGUGGGUACGACGUCGGCGGAACUCGUGGUGUAGCGGUGAAAUGCUUAGAUAUCACGAGGAACCCCGAUUGCGAAGGCAGCCGACGAGUCCCUUACUGACGCUAAAGCUCGAAGGUGCGGGUAUCGAACAGGAUUAGAUACCCUGGUAGUCC